rnacentral:lncRNA from 1 species
UAUCAGAAUGGUGUUGAAACACUGAUUUGGGGUGACAACUUGUUUAUAUAUACAGAGGUCCCACAAAAAUAUUUGCAUAGGCCCCCACAUACUCUAGGGGUAACCAUGUCUAGUGGGUUAUCACUCAUUCAUUCAAGCAGUCAUUCAAUGGAGUUUAUGACUUCAAGUGACCCCCCAAUUAAGUAAUGUAGUCUCUAUGAUAAGUGCUUUGCUUUAAUUAUUAUCAUUAUUAUUAUUAGCAGUAUGAACACAUGCACGGGAUCCCAGACAAAGAAGUGGCUAAUCCAGCCAGCACAUGGUGUAUGGUCUCAACGUAAGGGGGAUUACCCCCAUGGAGGUGAUAACACUGAAGCUUAGGUGUUGAAGAACGGCUAGGAUUUUUCCAGGAGGGACAUGUUAUGGUCAGGGAACAGAAAACAAUUCUGUGAUGCUAAAGGACAUGGUGGCAGCUGGAGAGAGAUGGGAGAUGAACUGGAAAGGCAGGGGGAUUGGAACAUGAAGGACUGUGUCAGCAGGCUGAGGUUUCUGCACCUCCUUUCUGAAGAAAAUGGAGUCACCAAAUGCUUUUUAGCCGGAAAAGAGAUAGUCAGACAUAUAGUUUAGAAAGUUCAUCCUGGUGGCUGAGUGGAGGUUAGAUGGGAGGAAAGUAAGACAGGAGUCAAAGAGACCCUUCUAGAGACUCCAGGUAAGAGGCAACGGGGACCUGACUGAAGGUGGCAGCCAUGGAGAAGGAGAGGCUGUAGAGACGCAGCUAGCCUGUCCUCUCAUACCCAAGCCUGGGAGAACCGGAGCGUCAUCUCCUCUCGAUGGUGGCUUUUUUGUAACGAGUGCAUUCUCCUUUCUCUUCUUCCUGUUCUCACUUCCCUGUUUUCUCCUGCCUCAUGAAACGAGACAGACAGCUGAGACAAGACUCUCUCCUGGAUGGAAAGGAAGCUGAGGUCCACAGCACCCUAGGCAGCCCACCCUCGGGAAGACCUUCCCAGAAAACCUUGCAGAGUAUAGGAGGAGGCAGAGAUCCUUUCAGCUGGAAUGGAAGGCCUCCCCAAAGCCUCUGGAUUUAUCUUGAGGGCCUUCAGGUGGACUCGUCACAUGCCUUCAGGGAGGCAACAGGCAGGGGUCCCCAGCUCCUCCGAGAAUACAGUUUCCAAGCUCUUGCAGAGAUGUGGCAAGCUAUUGGUGGCUUCCUUUGGAACUUUUCGAGAGAAGAUGUGCUACAGAAGAAGUCUUGUCUCCUUCCCUCAUGGUAA